GACAGAGGAUGCAAGCGUUAUCCGGAAUGAUUGGGCGUAAAGCGUCUGUAGGUGGCUUUUCAAGUCCGCCGUCAAAUCCCAGGGCUCAACCCUGGACAGGCGGUGGAAACUACCAAGCUGGAGUACGGUAGGGGCAGAGGGAAUUUCCGGUGGAGCGGUGAAAUGCGUAGAUAUCGAGAGGAACACCUGCGGCGAAGGCGGGUAGCUGGGCCGACACUGACGCUGAGGCGCGAAAGCCAGGGGAGCGAACGGG
rnacentral:rRNA from 1 species